GGGUUUUACAUCUCUUCAGUUUUGUUGGAAUCAAUACAAAUUUUAUGACUUAUCAUCUCCUGAAGAGAGAAAAUUGAGGUUUGAAGAAGUUUUUGG
rnacentral:misc_RNA from 1 species